rnacentral:tRNA from 1 species
GGGGAUAUAGCUCAGUUGGUAGAGUGUCUGCCGCACAUGCACCAGGUCCUGGGUUCAAUCCCCAGCACCACA